AGGACGAACGCUGGCGGCGCGCUUAACACAUGCAAGUCGAGCGAGAACCCACCUUCGGGUGGGGAAAGCGGCGAACGGGUGAGUAACACGUGGGCAACCUACCCUCAGCUCUGGGAUAACCCCGGGAAACCGGAGCUAAUACCGGAUAUGACCUUGAACGACAUCGUUCUUGGUGGAAAGUUUUUCGGCUGAGGAUGGGCCCGCGGCCUAUCAGCUUGUUGGCGGGGUAAUGGCCCACCAAGGCGACGACGGGUAG
rnacentral:rRNA from 1 species